rnacentral:lncRNA from 1 species
CGCUCGCUCUCCAGCAAGCAGGCGCAUGCGCGGGUCACGUGGCGGAAAUGUGGCCUCUCGCCAACCGCUAUCGUGCCUCAAGCCGGAAGUUGAUAUGGUUGCCUAGGAGACCGGACGUAGCUCUCUAGCCUAGGCAUCAUACUUAGCUGAGCUCACAGAGGCUGGCGGACGUGCGCCCCAUGGCGGAGCGAGCUGAAGUUGCAGCCUGGGACCAGGGAAAUCAAGAGGUAAAAAUGCGGCCAAACCAUUAUGAGGAAAAGGGGCCAAGAAUUACACUGUAGCGCCUCGCGCCGGCUCCCCGGUCUCCUGGGGAGCGAAGGGAGCCUGAAGAGCUGGUCCUUAUACAGCUUUCUGAAAUCCCUGAGAUCUGUCAAUGAAUCGCGCAUCUUUCACUCCACAAGUAUUUGUUGAACGUCAUUGUGAUCAUGCUGGCUGCUGUGUGGAGAAAAGACCGAGGGGAAGUAAAAGAACAAAGAACAAAAGAGAACAUGAUGGCUUGGAUCAAGAAUCACCAUUAGCUCCCUUCUGAUGAAGCAGGAGUUGACUCAGCUGGGCUUUCAGCUGGACACGGAAAGCGGAGGUAGAUGAAUUGUCAUGAUCAAACAGGGUUCUGCUCAGUUGAACAGGCUAGAGUACAGUGGCAUAGCUCAC